rnacentral:sRNA from 1 species
AUGUGGACGAGGCUUACAAAAAAUACUCAGAACUGUUUAAGGACCCAUCUCAUUCUGAUGUCAAAAACAUUCCCUUCUUGUCUGAUAAAAUUAGCACGGUCCUGGAGAAAGUCCAAUAUGUCUGCGCUCUUGGAAUCUACAAACCGGAACUCAGGGGACGAGAUAUUUUGCCAGGUCUGCAAACAGUUGACGAAUAACCCAUCCCGUAACAGUUCAGUACGAGGGUGGGUGCUUCUUCAUUUGUUGGCGGGUUGUUUUGCCCCGACAGAAAGAUUUUUCUCGUGUUUCCUCCAUUUUCUCCAAGAGUCCUCUCCAAUUUUCUCCUGCAGGGUCGAACGUCUAGUUCGGCGCACGGCUAUUGUAGGGACGAGGGGCUAUCCCCCCAGCUGGCUGGAGUUCCAGGCGUCAAAGAAUUGCAAACCCAUCUUGAUACCGAUGUCGAUGAUGAACGGACAACGUAUGAUAGUGGAGGCUGACUCGGCUUCCACCGUUCAGGAACUCGUCCAUCAGAUUUGUCAUAAGGCUGGACUGCAGGACUCCUCUGGCUUUUCUAUAUACAUUACUCUCAUGCAACGUAUUUCAUGUCUCGGGAAUGGUACACAUCGUGUAAUGGACGCCGUUGCAGAAUGUGAACAGCACACGAAGCAAAGCGGCAUGCGUGAAAGUAGUUCCUCCUGGCGACUUUACUUCCGGAAGGAGUACUUUUUACCCUGGCACAAUCCCAAAGACGAUCUAGUAGCCACAGACCUCAUUUAUCAACAGAUCAUGCGCGGGGUGUCUGUUGGGGAGUACAAGAGUAAAACGGUGCAUCUCCAACUGACCUCUACUUCACAAUUUGAAUUUAAAAUAGUCUUGUCCUAA